rnacentral:rRNA from 1 species
AACACAUGCAAGUCGAGGGGCGAGCAUAGCGGAAGCUUGCUUCUGCUGAUGGCGACCGGCGCACGGGUGAGUAACGCGUAUCCAACCUUCCCUACAGUAGGGGAUAGCCCGGCGAAAGUCGGAUUAAUACCCUAUGUUCUUCUUCGAUGACAUCUGACGAGAAGCAAAGGUUUACCGCUAUAGGAUGGGGAUGCGUCUGAUUAGCUUGUUGGCGGGGUAACGGCCCACCAAGGCUACGAUCAGUAGGGGUUCUGAGAGGAAGGUCCCCCACAUUGGUACUGAGACACGGACCAAACUCCUACGGGAGGCAGCAGUGAGGAAUAUUGGUCAAUGGGCGCGAGCCUGAACCAGCCAAGUAGCGUGCCAGGAAGACGGCCCUAUGGGUUGUAAACUGCUUUUGUGCGGGAAUAAAGUCAGGGACGUGUCCCUGUUUGCAUGUACCGCAAGAAUAAGGACCGGCUAAUUCCGUGCCAGCCGCUGC